CAUCCAACCACAUGAAAUUCGAGUUUCGCAAUCAAACCCUAAACCCUUCUUCUUCUUCUUCAUGUGAGUCUCUAAUGAACAAAACCCAGUUCCCACCAUCUUUCCUGUGAUUCGCUUCAAUAUGAGCUGCCCUUUAUAUGCCCUUUUGCUUCAUCCUCUCAAUUUCACCAAUUUUCUAACCAAAAUUGAAAGAAACAAUGACACCCACAAAGGCUUCAAUUCUGGUCGUCGCUGUUCUUCUCAUUGUCAUCCUUCAAGUUCCCACAGCCAUGCCCGCCAGACACCUCCCGUCUCAUAAUAGUCCAAAGCGAGUGAGGGGCGAGACGGUGGAAGUUGCAGGGUCGAGGUUACCAGAUUGUUCUCACGCUUGUGGGUCGUGCGCGCCAUGCAGGCUUGUGAUGGUUAGAUACUUUUGUUCUUCGGUUGAAGACUCGGAGACUUGUCCCUUGGCUUACAAGUGCAUGUGCAGCCACAAGUCCUUCCCUGUUCCUUGAUUGUAUCAGAUUUGUAGCUAUCUUUGGGCUGUGUGUAUCAUAUAUAAUAAUGCCUUUUCUCUCUAUCAUAGCUUCAUUUUAGGAUCGGUCUUGGGUUGUCUUCUUGUUAUUAUCAGCCAUCUUGUAAGAGUUCUUUUAGUACUAGAAAUGCAUGUUUUCUUGGUUACAUAUGUAACAUCAAUUUAUCU